CCAGAGUAAACCAAAUAGUUUUAGUCCUGGGAAGGGGUUUAUUCUCUUGUUUACAUUUACUUCUUUCUUCAUCUGAUUCCAGUCUACAUCUCGAGCAUCCUCAAAAUAGUCAAAAUAAUCCUCCAUCAGUGACAUUUGAGAAUGUUUUUUCCCCUCCCAGCAUACCAGGAGCUGUGAGAUGGAAAAGGUAUUCCAGUCUGUAAAACAGGCCUUCUCUUUGGUUAAAUAUGGAGUUCCUGACAGGAAGCACUGCCUUGGGCCAGCUCAGCAGAACAAGGGACCAUGAGGUCAACAGCAAUAAGAGGAUUUAAAGACAACAGUUGAGUAUUGGAUUGAUAGAUGGACAACCCAAUGAACCAUUUCACAUCUCCCUUAUUGAAUUAACAGUUAUAUUUCAAAAGGAGUUGGUAUCACAAGUAUUAAAAUACUUCUGCUUCUUUUACAUACCAAUCACUACAGUAACAGUAACUUCAUUGAAAGUACAAGGGACCUUGAAAAACAAAAGCAUUCCUAUUUCCUGAGACACAACAAUAUUGAAGAAUAUUACAUAAACUUAGUUGAUGAAGCUGCAGCAGGAUUUGAGAGGAUUGAUUCCAAUUUUAAAAGAAGUUCUGUUGUGAGUAAAAUGUUAUCAAACAGCAUCUCAUGCUACAGAAAAAUCUUUCAUGAAAGGAAGAGUCGAUCAAUGUGACAAAUUUCAAAUGUUGCCUUCUUUCACAUUUCCACAAUCACAACCAUCCCUGCAUUCAGUACCCAUCAUCCUGAUCAGUCAGCAGUCAUCAGCAAUGACUCAAGACCCUCCACCCACAAAUAAAUUAUGACUUGUUGA